rnacentral:rRNA from 1 species
AUUGAACGCUGGCGGCAGGCCUAACACAUGCAAGUCGAGCGGAUGAGGGAAGCUUGCUUCCCGAUUUAGCGGCGGACGGGUGAGUAAUGCCUAGGAAUCUGCCUAUUAGUGGGGGAUAACGUUCCGAAAGGAACGCUAAUACCGCAUACGUCCUACGGGAGAAAGUGGGGGAUCUUCGGACCUCACGCUAAUAGAUGAGCCUAGGUCGGAUUAGCUAGUUGGCGAGGUAACGGCUCACCAAGGCGACGAUCCGUAGCUGGUCUGAGAGGAUGAUCAGCCAAACUGGAACGGAGACACGGUCCAGACUCCUACGGGAGGCAGCAUGGGGGAAUAUUGGACAAUGGGCGAAAGCCUGAUCCAGCCAUGCCGCGUGUGUGAAGAAGGUCUUCGGAUUGUAAAGCACUUUAAGUUGGGAGGAAGGGCUGUAAGCUAAUAUCUUGCAGCUUUGACGUUACCAACAGAAUAAGCACCGGCUAACUCUGUGCCAGCAGCCGCCGUAACAC